ensembl:lncRNA
CAGAUCUUGGCCCUGGUGGCGGUGUACUACCUCCACGAAGGACUUCCCAAUCACUGCAGGAAGGCAUGGAAAUCCCCAUCACCUCCCAAUGUCUGUGAGUAGGACCACUGCAGAUGGGCCUACACUGUACAAAAAUAAAACUACGAAGAAAGUUGGUCGACACACGGGGGUUUCAACGGGGCUCCUCGAAGAUCUCUGCACAUGGAUCUCCCGCCUGGAAGUUUACAAAUUUGACGACGUUAAAGCCUGGAAAAGUAAGUAUUACUAGUGUUGUGUCGUUUUGAGAAUUUUAUCUUAGUAAUCAAGUGUUUUAGAAGAACUGAAUGAUUUAAAAAAAAAAAAUGCAUUUUAGCUCAAAUAUUUUUUCGUCAGAUGUGCUAGUUCGAAUAGCACCCUCUGCUUUUGCAACGCCUCAAUGUCAACGUGCUUCAGUCAAUAUAGCUUUUUCAACAAUUUACCGUCGUUAAACAAUACUUUUCAGUUUCAAUUAACACAUUUUCAUGUUAGUCCUCUGAAUUUAGGGCUGUUCUGAGCCCCAAAAGACUGACAUUUUUGGAUUUUAAAUCUGAAUUGUAAACCUGUGAGUAAGUGGCCUUUCUGUGUUUUUAUUAUUUUAAUUUGUAUUAAUUAAAUGCAUUAUUAUAUGGAGGAGGGUUAACUCCAUAGGGCCACUUGUCUUGUUGUUUUUAUUUAGCAAAGGUCACAGUGAAAUAAAGUACUUAAAAAUUUGCAACAUUGUGUAUUAUGGAUUGAUUUUAGUAUUUAAGUUGUAUAAUUUUGCAGGCCAACAUAAAAAAGUAAAUAUAGUGAAAAGAAAAAUCAAUUUAUUCUCAAUUAACUUUUUGUAGUUUGCAUGUUCUCCCCGUGUUCACAAGGGGUUUCCUCCAAAAAUAACCCCAACAGAAAAAACAUGCAAAAACAGAACAUUCUCCUGUCCGUCCGUGACCGAGACGGACGGUUCACUUGGUCCCCGGGCGCUGAGAAGCUGCCCACUGCUCCUGGGGGCCAACAUAUGAUGAUUGCAUAUGAAAUUGGAUCUGCAGCUGAGGUUUUUGCGAAAGCCAAAACACUUGUGCAGCCGCAGGUUGUGAAGAAAAAGCAAUAUCCACUGGCAGCUAAACAGUCAAAGCCUGCGCAUAUUAAGAAGUUAUCUGCAUGGAUGAUCAAACUCUGGCACCAGGUAUGUUCAUGUCAGCCAAAACUAAUUGCCAUAGUGGAAAUAUAAUAUUUUAGUGUCUAUAUGCAUGGCUACAUGUUCUAGUUAUGAAGUAGUCUGUAUACUGUAUGUACCAAUGGAAUUUCAACUGAAUUUUCUGUUUCUGCUGUUGUGUUUUGUAGAUGAAGAGGAUCAGGAUAUGUUUGAGGUAAUGGCAUGAUCUGGUCUGAUCUUGCACCCACAAAUUCUCAAAGAUACUGUCAGUGUAUUGGUUAGAAGUGUAGAAAAGAGGAUAUGCAUACUUUCACUGUUUGUGUUUGUAGGAUUCCAGUGCUGAGUCAACAAGAGCCAGUAGUGCAGGGACAGGCGCAACUGGAGACAUUUUGCAUCUCAGGGUCAACAGCGAGUCAACUCCAAGUCAACUGCAGUCAGGGUCAGCUGCAGCUGGGGCAGCGAUAGGUCAGAAUUUGACACCGGAGAGUGUGCAGUGGAGGGAAAUAAGAAGUCUCACAUGUCCAAUAGUGGAACUUCUUCCAGAGCAUCACACAAUCCCACUAUGCCCUCUUGUAAGCAUUUUGUUUUCUAACCAGAUAUUUUCUUUUCACAUGUCAUUUAUGGAAAGAUGAACAUCUCAUGUAUAAAGGGAAGGGACCACUGUUCCUCAAAACAAAAUGUUCAACCCAUAGGCCCGUUUGAGGUCACUAAAAGCUGCAUGUAGAACAAAGAGCAGGACAAUUUGGU